CGCGCUAGGCGAGCACCCCCUUUGCAUAGCCACUCGAGGGACCGCCCACUUCCUUAUAAAGAGGGGCCGUGCCGGGGCAGGCUAUCCCUCUGCCGUGGACCCCGCGUAGACGCCCCUCCAAUGUGGCCUGGUCUCGGCGCGAACUGUCCCGCUUUUGCUUAGAGGACUGCUACUUUACCCAGCAUCAUGGAGACCCCUGGGCCAGACAGAAUGAGAGAGUUCCAUCUAAAGCCUUGAACAUGUUGUUUUGCAGGGCAACACCAGCCAGACUCACCAUGGCGGAUGUUGCUAGUUUCGGUUAGGGCAAUGCUUUCCCACGGUCAGGACUUUCCAGAGGAGUUGAGAAUGUUGUAAACAACAAGAUGGCGCCGAGGGCUGCGCGGUGAGCCUGCCUGCUGCAUGUCACCUCAUCUGAUUGGCCCGAGAACGCGUGCACACUGCGUGAACAGACAGCGGAUUGGAGUGUUCCGUGCAUGGACUUGAGCCCGCUUGCAAUUGGCCAGAUUUUGUAUAUAAGCUAUGUGCUGAGGAAGGGGGCUUUCCUGUCCACUCUCCUCCUUUCAUUUUUUCUCUGUCCUGUUAUUUUCCGAUUAAAAGUCUGCUGAAGACCGAUAAGCUGCGAACAGUGUCGUUCCUUUGCGGGCAAGGGAGCGGCAAGUGGUGCUGUGACUCGGAUCCGGACCACUUUCUACACGCAGGAAUAGCAGCAAGCUGGCCCACAAAUUGGAAAAAGAAAAUUACCAUAACUCAGUUGCAAGGUAUUGCUCGGAGUCAAAGAUUAACACAAAGUUCUAAAUUGCUGCAAUGGAGGAUGAAGCAGGUAAUGCUGGAGCUUGUUACCCCUAUAUUUUGGCUGCAUUACUUGUUAAUCUCUGGAGACGUGAUAUUCUAACUCAAAUGGGGGCUUUAAUACACAGUCCAAAUAAGAUUAUUACCAUUAACAUACUUCAACAAGGUCAUUUGCCAGGUAAGGGUUUAGACAAACAACAAAGCAUCGCAUCUCCAGUUACUUUAACUGUCAAUCAUGACCAGAGAGGCUUGGGUUUCCCUUGAUGGCUACUGGUCAGUCUGUGCCCCAUGCAAAAAAUAAAAUAAAAUAAAAAUCAGAUAAUCCCGUGUGGGUGGAUCAGUGGCCUUUACUGCAGGAAAAGAUAAAUGCUGCACAGAUAUUGGUGGAAGAACAAUUAACAACAGGACAUAUAGUUCCUUCUAAUUCUCUUUGGAAUAGUCCUAUUUUUGUUAUCAGACAGAAAUCUGGGAGAUAGCAAUUGCUUCAAGGCCUUAGGCCUGUUAAUGCUACUGUGGAAAUUAUGGGGGCUUUACAACCAAGUUUACCAUUGCCAAUUGCAAUUCCAAAGGACUCUUAUAUUACAAUAAUAGAUUUAAAAGAUUAUUUUUAUACUAUACCUUUACAUCCAGAAAACUGUCCCCGAUUUGCUUUCAGUGUUCCAUCAGUAAAUUUUCAAGAACCUAUGCAAAGAUGCCAAUGGAGGAUCUUACCUCAAAAAAUGGCUAAUAGCCCUACUUUGUGCCAACAAUUCAUUGAUGCUGCUCUUCAAAAUAUUUACAAAAAAUAUAACAAUUUAUGUAUUAUACACUAUAUGGAUGAUAUUUUGAUAGCUGGACCCGAGGAAUUUUUGGUGAUACAGUAAUAAGAGAGCAAUUAUCUGCUUUUGGUCUUAUCAUAGCCCCUAAAAAAAUACAACUUCAAUAUCCUUAUCAAUAUCUAGGCUUCCAAUUGUACCCAUGAAAAGUACUUCCACAAAAGUCACCUUACAAUUGGAUUCUUUACAGACUUUAAAUAAGUUUCAAAAACUUCUAGGGAAUAUUAAUUUGCUUUCUGUACAUCUCCACCUCACAACAGGAGACCUUAAACCUUUAUUCAAUAUCCUUUUUUUUUUUUUAUUUUUUCCAAAAUUUUUAUUAAAGCCUUUCCCAUACAUUGUAACCAAAACUAAUAAACACAACAGAAGACAAAUAGGAAAAAAAUGAAGACAUAGGUGGGUGGUCUGAAAUCCUUUAUUCAAUAUCCUAAAAGGAGGUCAAGCUUCUGUAAUUUGUGAUGGUCACCAUACAGUUAUUAACACCUCUUUUUCAUCUCUACAGCUAGUUGAAUUAGUUGCUGUUGCACUUGCAUUGCGGUCUACUUUGGAUGUAGCGGUUAACAUAUACACCAAUAGCAAAUAUGUGUUCCUAUCAGUGCCUCAAUUGGACACUUGUUCAUUCCUUCCUGGAUCCUCAGCUGCUUCUCCUCUGUUUUCUCGCAUUUGCACUGUCAUUCGACAGCAUACCUGUCCUUUCUUUAUAGGUCAUAUUUGAGCACAUUCCAAUCUUCCUGGACCAUUGGUAGAGGGUAAUCAUUUGGCAGAUUCUGCUCUAUAAAUAUAUUCUAUUGCUACAGCAACAAAAGAUCACGUUUUACAUCAUUUAAAUGCUCAUACGUUACACUUAAAACAUAAUAUUACUCAAGAACAAGCUCGACAAAUUGUAAAAUUCUGUUCUACUUGCCCCAUCCAGUUACCAGUACCUCACUUUCACAUUAUUCCUCGUGAUUUAUUCCCCCAAUCAACCAUGGCAAAUGGAUAUCACCCACUUCAUGGAAUUUAGUAAACAAACAUAUAUACAUGUGUCUAUUGAUGCUUGUUUUAAACUUAUUUUUGCUUCCUUACAUACAGGUAAAGCUACAAGACAUGUUAUUGCCCGUUACUUACAAGCUUUUGCUUCCCUAGGAACUCCAAAGCAGAUUAAAAUGGAUAAUGGACCUGCUUAUAUUUCUGCCUCUUUUAGAAAUUUUUGUGUAACUUUCUAUCUCAUGUUACUGACAUUCCUUAUAAUCCUCAGGGUCAAGACAUUAUUCUACAUACACAUAACACUUUAAAACAAUAUUUUAAUGAUAUAAACAAAAGGGGGAGUUUAGGGUUCUUGCCCAUUCUCCUAACAAAUGGCUCUCACGUGCUUUAUUCAUUUUAAAUUUUUUCACAUUGAAUAAAGAUGGUCGUCUUGCAGCUAUUCAACAGUGGCAUCCACAAACAGCUGGGGUAAGAACAAUGGUAAAAUGGAAGGAUCCUAUCACCAAUCAAUGGAAUGGACCUGAUCCAGUACUGGUAUGGGACAUGGGCUCUUAAGGGAUGGGUAUUUUUAUGCAACCAAUUUGCUUUUACAUUGUUAGCCCCUAAUGAUUUUCACAACUGCUCACUGGGCCGUGUGGCCCCAAUGCUAACAUCUGUAUUUCCAAAGGCACAACAGUGAUGCUCAUUACCUGAGAACUGUGAUGAUGAUGUCAUCUUAAUUGGAGACCUGCUUUCACCAUGGCUAUACAGCUAGUGGGAGUUCCUGGAUUGGCAUAUGGAAAUAAUUGUGGACUACGAAGGCUUACACGUUUGAUGACCAAAACAAUCAAUCUUACUGCUACUGCGCUAUCCAAUAUAGCUAAAAAAUUGGAUCAAGUUCAUUCAGGAGUACUCUUAAACCGAGCAGCUAUCGAUUAUUUGCUGUUAAAAGAUCAUGUAAGCUGUAAAUCUGUUCCAGGGGAAUGUUGUUUUAACAUUACUAACAAUGCCAUAUAUAGAGUCUGUUAUGGAUAAACUUAAGAGUAAAAUGCAACAUAUGUUUAUUACUAACCCACUAACAUUUGAAGGGUUUCAGUGGAUUCAUUGGUUAUUAAUGCGGGCUAGAUUGUUACUGAUUUUCAUACUUUGUAUGGGAUGUUUUCCAUGUGUUCUACAAUUUGUGCUAUCUUCGCUACAGUCUGUAUGGACUGACAUUCAUCACUUAAAAUUUUGUACCAAACCUCCUUUGUAAUCAAAAAUAAUUAAUAUUUGGCUGUAUGUUUCAUCUCUCACCUAAUGUUGGGCUAAAAUGGUACUCAAAAAUGGGUAAGACACUCCACAUCCUGUACCUACCUAAGACAGGGCUCAAGUUAAAGAAUGGGUCGCUAUUGGUUGCUUGUGUGUCAUGAUACUACUGGGCCUUGCCUUCAUAGCCAGAUGGAUCAGAGCCUUAGCACUCCGUCAGCAGAAUACCAACUUGAUAAUCCAACAGGCUAUGCUGGCCACCUUGUGAUCUCACCCCAAUAAAGAAGUAUGGCUUAGCAUGAUGGAGCGGUAGUCAAAGACGGGUAAACACUGAUGGGCGCUCCUAGCAACCUAAGACAGAGGGUAGGACAGGCUUCCUAUUACCUCCAUGACGUGUAAGCAGGUAGCGCGCCAUUGGGUACCUAAGACAGGCACGUUUCCAUGCCAUUUAAAUAAUAAAGAAGGGGGAGAUGUGGGGCUCCAUGGGAUGCGCAGCCAUGGAGCCCCCACGUCAAGGUCGGUCUGAUAGCUGUUGCUGUGUCUUUAU